rnacentral:snRNA from 1 species
AGCUUUGCACAGUGGCAAUAUCAGAGUCAGUGAGGCUUAUUCAAGGUGCAAUUAUUGCUAAUUGGAAGCUUUUCCCAAUACCCUGCCGUGAUGACUUGAAAUAUAGUCGGCAUUGGCAAUUUGUGACAGUCCAGAGAUA